UGCACUCGUAGCUACUAGAAUGAUGUCAUUCAAUGGAAAUGUGGGCAGGGCCAUGUACUGUGCAUGCUUACUGCUGAUGAAAAGUGAUGACCAGGUAAAAUUCCAAGCUAUUCGCGCCUGCUCUGGUCCUGCUCAAGCCCUGCCCUUCCCAAAAUCCUGGCUAUGCGCCUAUGCCACUGUUCCUGGCAUUGAAAUGCGAAUAUUAGAACCCACGAAAAUUUAUGCUGAGGGCUUUGGAGCCAAAUAGCGAACAUUUCCCGCUGUACGGUAUUAUGAACCGAAUGUAUGAAUCUACUUUAUAAGGUUUUUUUUGUAGCUCCAGAAAACACAGACAUUUUCAGGUGUGAUAGACUACAAUUGUCCAGAUUGGUGACCUAAAGAUGUGGUGUUUUCCUUAUUGACAGGCCAGGACUCAGAAGCACACGUAUUACUAAGCACUGUGAUAAACAAAUAUAUAUCACACCUACGGAGAUAUGCGCCCGGUACUGCAUGUGGUUACUCCAAUUAAGGAGCAGGCUUUAAGAUCAAUACUUGUUCCUACGUAGGAGGAGAAUGAAGUAGGAAAAAGACUGAAGGAACCGAAGGAAAUCGUGACCCACACCCUGAGGCAGUCAAGCAAGAUUACCUCCAGUUAUCAGCAACACUUCGCCUCGGCUGUUGAACUGACCAACCAAAAGAUCUGAUUUGAUUUCGAAAGAACAGAAGACCUGUUGAAUUAUCGAGUUCUGGAUUCUAAGAAAAGAAGUCUCGAGGCUGAGAGGAAAUUUAAGGAGCUCAGUGAAGAAAACAGAAAUGUUUGUUAUGGCGAAACGAUUCAAAUGAUCACAACUCAGAUAUGAGAUGUCGAAGUGUAAAACAUUAUUUUUGUUAACUUUCUUGUUUGUAUCCUAUUCAUCUCAUCCACUGUGCAUUCAGUAUUCCACUUGUGUGUAUAGUGUGUACGUAUUUGCUAAGGAGAUAUGUUUGAAUUUGUAAUUUGUACUUCCAUCAUUAUACAUAAUGGCUAUCAAGUGAGUCUUGUUGUUGCCUCUUCAAAGCGUUUUAUAAUAAUAAUAAUAAUAAUAAUAAUCGAUGCUUUACAGUAUGACUUUACAUUUACACAAGGUGAAUAGAUUGUUGUGCGUCAGAAAUUAAACAUACUGACAGGAAGUUCCUAGAAGGAACACCUGACUAAAUCUACAUAAAAUGUAUACAUAAUUAUACAGUUAUACAGACCAACAGGGACAGACUAGGUGAUAAGUGCAAAUUCUUGAUUGAUCAAAGCGUUCUAGAAAACUGUCCCAGAAAUGUUUGUAGAGUUGAUUCUUGAUAGUUGACAUCGAGUGAGAGAGAUCUAUAAAAGGGAGGGUGUUCCAGAGUCUGACCAAUCUUUUGAAGUUAAAGUGUCUUGUUGUGUUUGAGCGAUGAUGACCUUUAUGAACUAGCUUGUGAUUAGACGAUAGUCUUGUGUUGCUGGUAGAGAAUGAUAUGAACUCAGUAAUGUUGAAGUUGUCUACUGGUUUUUGGAGACACCUGACGGCGAAUAUGACAUCUUGCAACUCUAGCCAGUUCAUUAGUGGUAAAAGGUCCAGUUUAAUGAGGCGACUUUUGUAGUCGAGAAUAUCAGAUCUACAUGUAAGGUUCAGAAUAAACUUUGAAGAUCUUCUCUGGAUUUGUUCCACUUUUGUGAUGGCCUUGUGUGUCUGUGGUCUCCACAGUUGCGAACAAAAUGUUAAAUUAGAUCUAACAAGCGUAGACUAGUAUAAAGUGUUCUUUUUGUGUGGAGAUCAUGAGAGCAUGCAUUGAGUGUUUCUUUUAAUAAGGUACAAACAGCUGUACUGUAGGCCUUCGAACAUAGGUUGUUGAUAUGUUGGUCCCAGGAGAGACUAUUCUGGAUGGUCACUCCCAGGUCUUUGUGAGAGUCUCUUGUUAAGAUUAGCUUCGAGUCCAAAUUGUAUAGCGAGUCAUGAAUGGUUUUACCAAAGUGGAAGUAGACACAUUAGUGUGACGAUUAGUACCAGGUCCACAUGGCUUUGACAUGUACAGGAAUGCAAUGAUGCAAAUACUAGAUCUAGUUCUUUCAAGCUCCAAGUACGAGUGAUGGAGGAAUAUUCUAGCUGUAACAGCUCUUAGUAACAUUCACGUAUUGUAAAUCCAACAAAUCACCUCCAGUUGAUCAGCAAACUCUGCCUUGAGAGUUGAAACUGACGAUACCCUUUUAUGUCGAAACAAGAAACAAUUGAAGAAUCUCCAAAAUAAUGAAGAAAAUGUACGUUGCAUCAAGUGACCCCAACGACCUAUUGUAUGAUGAUAUCUUAAGCAGCACGUUCUGGAUUCUAGGAAAAUAUGACUCGAGGCUGGGAGGAAAAUUGAGGAGCUGAGUUACGUCUCACUACAAGAGGAUAUGCAUCAAUAUAUCGUCCGCUACUGUGCAUGGUUACUCUGAGGACAAGCAUAAGAUUCAAUGGUUGUUCCCACGCAAGAGGAGGAUAAAGUGAGGAAAAGAACUGAUUGAGGGAGUGGAAGAAAAUGGUGACCCUCGCCUUGAGGCAGCACCUCACCAAGCAAGGCUAUCUUGUGGUUGGUUCCUCCGGGGUGAAGAUGUAUCUAUGGACCAAGUCUGUUCUGAGGGGGAGGGGUGAUUGUCACAAGUAUUUGUUCUACAGUAUCGAGAGCCAUUGAUACAUGGAAACCACACCUGGUCUGGCCUGCACCAACAGGCACUAUACCAACCCAGUGGGCACGGAGUGGUGUUGGAAGAUGGACGAUGCGGAUAAAAAAACUCACUACCAAAAUGGUCAAACAAAUUAAAGACACGUCCCGUCGUUGCGGGUGGGCACCUGAUUUAAGAAGAGUAUUUGAUGUUAAAUGUACGUACAUUAAAGGUUUGAUGUAUAAUUAUGAUACUGUGAGUAAAGCAAAAAUUAUAUGUAUUCGUACAGUUGUGCAGUUAUAACAUUAGUCCAUUAGUACUACAAAUUGUAAACUGCUUAAUGCCCUUUAUUGCAUGCAUCGUCAUUAUUCCUUCGUGUCAUGAGGCUUGGUGAGAAUGCAACACAUCAUAAUUCCCCUGGACUGCGGCCACUGAUCCUCCGAGAAUAACCUCGGAAAUAUAAUUAUUAUAGUUAUUCCGAUUCUGCUCUACUGAGAUUGCCUUAAAUGCUUCUUCGAUAAAAUUAUGUUAAUGUUACUGAUUUUAGUAUAUACAUGGAUGCUCCACUUUUGCCGCCAAAUAGUGCCAUUUUGUUUGGAUGUGUUAGAACUAUAGAAUGCUUUGUAGAUAGUCAGGACCACCGCUCUCUUAUAAGAUGGUCACGUGAACUAAUGAAAAUCACACAUUACCUGAGAAAUAUGCUAUAAUAAUAAUUAUGGGUAAACAAAAAAGGCAUUUCACUCAUUCUUGGAAGUGUUUUGCUAUCUUAAUAACAAUUUAUGCUUGUACUUAUAAAAUUAUACCCUUAAAAGAAUGAUUCAAAUUUUUGUACAAAGCAAAUAAUAUACACAAGGAUGAAUGAUCAACAGUCAGAUCUAAGUUAUGGAUCUCUCUGAGAAACAACUGCCAUCUCAUGGGAAACGAAUCUUUCUUCUGUGGCUCAAUUUGACAGACCCCAUGUUUGUAGAGGUUCUUGUAAGGGUUGGAUGGGUCGAUGAUGCGUGGCUUCUCGGGUAGGUAGUGACCGUACUUCUCCAUAAUCACACACUGUUAAAAAUGGGUAGUUACAAUAGCACCCAAAGUGCUAUGCCAACACUCACCUAAUGGUGCUAUCACAACACUAAGAGUGCAGUCGUAACUGCUACGUGUUACUAGAACAAUAAAGGGUGCUAUUAUACACUUAAAAGUGCUUGUGGAACAUUUUAAACAGUGUUGUGCAUGCACUUACCUAGUUGUUAAAAUCAUAUUACUCUAACUAUACACCAGAUGGUGUUACUCAAAUAAGAAUUGUGUGAUUGUAGCACUAUACAUGGUGCAAUGUAAGCACCUCUACAAAUCACCUGCAUGCAAAUCAAGGCCAGUCUAUAAUGAUUCGUGUAGUUGCAUGUGUAAAUAAAUAGUUGCUUAUAUAGUAUAACAAACCCGUUCCAUUAAAAUAGUUGAAUCUGGUAUAAUUAUUAUACCUUUGUAUUCAAGCAUGCAAGUAGAUUAUAAUUAUAGUCACCUUAUUUAUUAUACUUAUUCAGUAUAAAUUCUAAUCACAUGCGUAAUUAUGUAUACAGGAGUAAAGCAGUACACUUGUACUGAUGACGGAACAAUCGGCCCUGUGAGGAACUUUCCAAGAAAAAAUUAGUGCACUUUUCAAGUGUACCGGCAAUAUUUUAGCUAUUCAGUAUUUAUAACUUAUGUGAUGAACCAGUACUAGUUAUCAUUAUUAGUUACUGUAAAACUAUGUGUUUGAAGUUGCAACAUCUAUUGAGGACUAGACUAUGUGCAUGUCACGCUAACGGACAAAUUAAUGCCCAACAAUAAUUAUUAACAAUUCAAUCGUCUGAAAAAUCAUACAUCCUGUAUUUAGCAAAGUAGCUGGCUUAUAGUGUGUUCUUUCUACUCGUACAGUUGCCCUGCAAAUUUAACUCUUACUUUGCUCCCACCCCUCCCCUCUUCCAUGCAAGGGCAUACACUGAUGAUAUGAUCAUAAUUAAUUGAUGAGCACAGACUCAAAUGCGUGGUGGGUAGCCAAGACUACAUAAACAAAACAAAAUCGUGGGUGGUAGACGUGCAGCACUGAUCUCACGUGAACCUUGUGAUAGACAGCUGCCUGCAUGAGAGUCUCUGCACACAGCUGCGUGCACCUUAACUGUACGAAGGCGCCAGGCCUACUCUAGCUCUGUACUGUGCAUGCUCUGGUACUACAUGGACUAAGUUGCUAGAUGUACUACACUGCAAGAUGGCACACUGCUUUGACUCGGAACUAUAGAGGUUCAUGGAGUCGAGCUAUUUAAACGAGGUUAAAGAAUAUGCGUCGCAAAUUGAGAUUCAAUAUCUGUCCAAAGAUAAACCACUGCUCUUUAAAAGGAAUAGUCCAAAAACAAAGCGUAACAAAGGUGCUAUCAGGAGUGAUAUGAUCGACCAGCAGUUACAGAUGUGCAUAUAUACUUACCUUCUAUCCACCACUGACCGAUUAUGUCUAUGAAAGAUACCUAUAGAUUUACUUUUGAGGUAAAUUGGAAAGAAUUCGAACAAAGGAGAACAAUGUUAAGCUACAGGAGCUGGUCGAAGACUAUGCAGUCACUGGUGCAGUCACAAUCUAAUGGUAAAUAGAAACCCAUAUCUUCAAACAUACAUUUUUUUUAUUCAGUUCUGAAGAUAAUACUGUAAGAAGAAGGAUGCAGUACAAAUGAUAUUUGUCAAGCUGCUGCUCCACGUAUGUAAUGCAUAAACAGUUACAAAUACUUGAUACUUGAGAACAGAUUCUUCUGUUGCCCUUGAAUUCAUCCUGUGUGGGGGGGUAUAUGCCUAUUAUAACGAGAAUAACCCUGUCAUCAUACAUAUAUAAUUAUACACAGUAAUGCAUGCACACUGGAUAUUUGGAAGAGGUGACAACAGUUGUUAAAGUGUUAGGCUUUCGGCUUAUUUGAAUAAUUGUCUCCUACUCACUUAUAUCACUGCCUACUGUUUUUGUGAGCCCCAUCCUUAUCCCAUCAUAAUAUAUACAUGCAGGUGGAUGACAUGCAACGUUCGUUCAAGGUAGAAAAAGUGCUAUUGAAUCUGGAUCAAUGAACUACUUCGUCAUCGUAGAGAAAGAAGUGUAUGAAGUAGAUUCAUUCUAUGAAACUCUUGUACUAUGUUUUUGACAUUUUAGUACCCACGUGCAUGUCUGCAUGGCACCCUUUUAUUUUUAUAUUUUUAAGGUCCCGAACUGCCUAAGUGUAUUGUGGUCGUAGUUAUUAAACACUUUAUGAGGUUAUAGGUAUACAUAUCUUCAUACUUUUAUUGUAUGCUAUCGUGAUGCAUAUCAUUAUACACAUGCUAUAAUUAUGUUACGUCA